rnacentral:rRNA from 1 species
AACGAACGCUGGCGGCAUGCCUAACACAUGCAAGUCGAACGGAAAGGCCCUGCUUUUUUGCGCUGCUCGAGUGGCGAACGGGUGAGUAACACGUGAGUAACCUACCCUAGUCUUUGGUGUAACUUAAGGAAGGUGGAGCUAAUAACGGAUAGGAGCUCCUGCUGCAUGGUGGGGGUUGGAAAGUUUCGGCGGUUGGGGAUGGACUGGCGGAUUAUCAGCUUGUUGGUGGGGUAGUGGCUUACCAAGGCUUUGAACGGUCGCCGGCCUGGGCGGGUGACCGGACACAUUACGCCUGAGAUACGACCCAGACUCGAACGGUAGGCAACGGUGGAGAAGAUUACACAGUGGGCGGAAGCCAGAUGCGACAACGCCGCGUGCGGGAUGACGUCCUGCGGGUUGUAAACCGCAGCCGCCUGUGACGAAGCGUGAGUGACGGUAAUGGGUGAAGAAGCACCGGCUAACUACGUG